ensembl:lncRNA
UUUAAUUGUUCCUUCCCUCUCGGUGAGCGAGCACAGGAAGAGAUUUACCUCCUGGCCUUUCCACUUGGGCAUGUUGACAUUUCCAGGCGGCAGUUUUCUCUGAUGGAGCGCUUUGACGUCAGGUGGGCUGAUUACAGCCUGCGGUGCCUCUGACUCAUUUGGCGACGGCCUGCGCGGGGGACCUGGAACGUGCCUCUCUCUCUCUAUCGCUUGUUAUGGUCGGCUUUAAAUAAAUAAAGGCGAGCUCGGCUCACAACUUCGGGGAGAUGCUGUGCUGCUCAGCCUGGAGCACGCAUUGCCAUGGCAACAGAUGCAGACAUGUCGCUACGCAGCCAGCUCCCCUGCCCCGCUCCUGCCUGCCCUGAAGGGCCCAAACAGGAGCAGUGUGUGCCUGUGGGGCAGCCACGCUGGGGAGAGCCUCCUCAGGGGGUCGUGAGCCUGCUGCCCACAUCUCCGGUGUCUCCAGGAAUGAGAGCUUCGGGGUUAGGUAGGGAUAACAGCAUUCCCAGAUCUGUUUCCUUCUCCAGGCGUCGCGGGACAUCCAGGAUAUUUCCUACACUGCAGUGUCCUGAGACGCUGCGAAUGUGGGUACGCCUUGAGACAAACUCUUGCAGCUGUGGCAUAACCCCGGAUAAUCAAAGCAGCAUCCUUUGGAUGCGGUGUGAAAGUCAGUACUUGUCUGUAAACUGAUGUUGAACGUAAUGGAAUAGGCCAGCAACUCCAAAGCAUUCAGGGCCCGAAGACAAACACAGAUGGGGAGAAGCAGCCGGACUGCAAAGCUGUGUUCACCGUGCAGGAGGGAUGUCAGUCAUCCACGGCUGAAUGUUCUAUUAAACUGACUGCAAAGCUUCUCAGAAUGCACAGAAACCUCUCCAGGAGGGAGAGAGGAGCAUCUUGUUCAGGGGUGGAGAGCAUGAGGGAAGGGGACACCAGUGUACUAUAGUGACGGGAAAAAAAGGGAAGCAGCUGACAGGAGAAUGCACAAUUCCUCACAACCAGAACGUUCAUACAGCUCCUUCAGGUGGCUGUGUGCUAUGGAUUUCUCUCCAUGCUCCUACUAGCCUCAAAGCCCAGCUGAGCUGACUUAAGUCUGAUUGGAACCACUGUAAAAGAUAAGGCUCUAGGCAGCAUGAAGGACUUCAGCUGGGCUG